CCUACGGGGGGCAGCAGUGGGGAAUAUUGGACAAUGGGGGGAACCCUGAUCCAGCCAUGCCGCGUGUGUGAAGAAGGCCCUCGGGUUGUAAAGCACUUUCAGUGAGGAAGAACGCCUGGUGGUUAAUACCCAUCAGGAAAGACAUCACUCACAGAAGAAGCACCGGCUAACUCCGUGCCAGCAGCCGCGGUAAUACGGAGGGUGCGAGCGUUAAUCGGAAUUACUGGGCGUAAAGCGCGCGUAGGUGGCUUGAUAAGCCGGAUGUGAAAGCCCCGGGCUCAACCUGGGAACGGCAUCCGGAACUGUCAAGCUAGAGUGCAGGAGAGGAAGGUAGAAUUCCCGGUGUAGCGGUGAAAUGCGUAGAGAUCGGGAGGAAUACCAGUGGCGAAGGCGGCCUUCUGGACUGACACUGACACUGAGGUGCGAAAGCGUGGGUAGCAAACAGGAUUAGAUACCCUAGUAGUC
rnacentral:rRNA from 1 species